rnacentral:rRNA from 1 species
GACGAACGCUGGCGGCGUGCCUAAUACAUGCAAGUCGAACGGAAAGGCCCUGCUCUUGUGCGGUGCUCGUGAGGCGAACGCGGGUGUAUCACGCGAGUAUCCUGUCCCUGUCUUUGGGAGAUCUCCAGGAAACUGGGGCUAUUAUCGGAGAGGAGCUCUUGCUGCACGGGGGUGGAUGGUGAGUGUCGGCGGUGGGGGAUGGACUCGCGGCUUAUGAGCUGCUUGGUGAGGUAGUGGCUGACGAGGGCUACGACGGAUAGCCGGCCUUGGAGCGUGACCGGCCACCAUAGGACUGCGAGACGGCCCAGACUGCAAUGGGAGGCAGCAGUCGAGAAUCUUGCACAGUGAGCGGAAGCCUGAUGCGACAGCGCCGCGUGCGGGAUGACGGCUUUCGGGUUGAAAACCGCUUUCGCCUGUGACGAAGCGUGAGUGACGGUAAUGAGUCAAAAAGCACCGGCUAACUACGUG